rnacentral:misc_RNA from 1 species
UCUCCGUAGGUGAACCUGCGGAGGGAUCAUUACAGAGUCCUCGCCCUCGCGGGUAGAUCUCCCACCCACUGUUAUCGUUACUGUGUUGCUUUGGCGGGCCGCCGGGCCCCGCUCGGCCGCCGGCUCCGGCUGGCGCGCGCCCGCCAGAGGCCCUGCAAACUCUGAAUGUUAGUGUCGUCUGAGUACUAUAUAAUAGUUAAAACUUUCAACAACGGAUCUCUUGGUUCUG